UACGGGGGGGGCAAGCGUUGUUCGGAAUUACUGGACGUAAAGGGCUCGUAGGUGGCCAACUAAGUCAGACGUGAAAUCCCUCAGCUUAACUGGGGAACUGCGUCUGAUACUGGAUGGCUUGAGUUUGGGAGAGGGAUGCGGAAUUCCAGGUGUAGCGGUGAAAUGCGUAGAUAUCUGGAGGAACACCGGUGGCGAAGGCGGCAUCCUGGACCAACACUGACACUGAGGAGCGAAAGCCAGGGGAGCAAACGGG
rnacentral:rRNA from 1 species